GAUGAACGCUGGCUACAGGCUUAACACAUGCAAGUCGAGGGGAAACGACGGGGAAGCUUGCUUCCCCGGGCGUCGACCGGCGCACGGGUGAGUAACGCGUAUCCAACCUGCCUCUGACUGAGGGAUAACCCGUCGAAAGUCGGCCUAAUACCUCAUGGCAUCGUCUGCGGGCAUCCAACGACGAUUAAAGAUUUCAUCGGUCAGAGAUGGGGAUGCGUCUGAUUGGCUUGUUGGCGGGGUAACGGCCCACCAAGGCGACGAUCAGUAGGGGUUCUGAGAGGAAGGUCCCCCACAUUGGAACUGAGACACGGUCCAAACUCCUACGGGAGGCAGCAGUGAGGAAUAUUGGUCAAUGGGCGAGAGCCUGAACCAGCCAAGUAGCGUGCAGGAUGACGGCCCUAUGGGUUGUAAACUGCUUUUAUGCGGGGAUAAAGUGAGGGACGUGUCCUUCAUUGCAGGUACCGCAUGAAUAAGGACCGGCUAAUUCCGUG
rnacentral:rRNA from 1 species